rnacentral:rRNA from 1 species
CCGCGGUAAUACGUAGGGUACAAGCGUUGUCCGGAAUUAUUGGGCGUAAAGAGCUCGUAGGUGGUUGGUCACGUCUGCUGUGGAAACGCAACGCUUAACGUUGCGCGUGCAGUGGGUACGGGCUGACUAGAGUGCAGUAGGGGAGUCUGGAAUUCCUGGUGUAGCGGUGAAAUGCGCAGAUAUCAGGAGGAACACCGGUGGCGAAGGCGGGACUCUGGGCUGUAACUGACACUGAGGAGCGAAAGCAUGGGGAGCGAACAGGAUUAGAUACCCUGGUAGUCCAUGCCGUAAACGUUGGGCACUAGGUGUGGGGGACAUUCCACGUUCUCCGCGCCGUAGCUAACGCAUUAAGUGCCCCGCCUGGA